rnacentral:tRNA from 1 species
GGAGAGAUGGCAGAGUGGCUUAAUGCGGCGGUCUUGAAAAUCGUUGAGUAUUAAUACUCCGAGGGUUCAAAUCCCUCUCUCUCCG